UGCUUUCUUCUUCUACUGCGAAGAAAUGAACACAACUUCCAGGAGAUAAGGAAAGAGAUGCUGCUCAGAGUAUUACAACAACACGGAGAGAUUCUACUUACAGUGCUAACAACACACAUUUCUGAUUUGCAAGGUUCGGCUGCAAAUCCGAAACCCUUUCAGUUCACUCGGACUUAAGAGAUCACCAGAUGUGGAAAAAUGAGUGUACAGCCCAAACACAGGACAGAGCCUUCCAUUUUCUGCAGCCUGCAUAGUCCAAGGAAGCAAAAUAUUUUCCACUUUGUAAAAUAUUUAAGGCCGCUAGGGGAGAAGUGCUGGCUGCUCCGCUGGAACAGAGAGGCUCUGCUCACCACAUGGAAAACGCAUCCGGAGACCAGAUUUUUCCAGAAGUAACUCAGCGGGCGCUGGGCUCUGGACGCUGGCUGCUAACCUCAGCAGUCUCGGGAGUGACUGGCCAUCCUACAGCCUGCCAAGCCCCUGAAGCUGCAUAGGGAUGAGGGAAGAGGUCUUCUCUGUACAGAGACCCAUUUACAGCAUGGGUCUAAGGAAUCAUCCUCUGGACUCUCCAAUUUCCCGAGAACUUAUACUUUGUGAAGACAUCAACUCUCUUCUGAAAUGUUAUUCUCUGGAGGAAAACACAAAUGGAGCAUCAAGUUAAAACAAGUAGGAUGGCUGUUACCAUCUUUGAGAGAGUCUACCUUCUACAGAAACAGAGAGCCCUUUAAUCAGGAAAACUGCAGAGCAGCAGCCUCUCUCCCUCAGCGGAGACUGCGCCAUGGCACACGGGGUUGGGGUUUAUAGGGCACAAAAGGGAACUUUGGGAGUGAAAUGAAAUCUGACUUUUUUCAGUUGAAUCAUUUUCUGAAGCAGCAUUUCUGUAUCACGGUUUCCAGUUAAUUCGCAAUCUUCUUCUCUCUUCAGUGUUGGGAAGCUUUCCCUUCCCUGCUCUGACUGCCCUGGCAGCCUGAGGUUGAAAAGAUGACUGGUCUCUGAUAGCCUAGGUCUUCAUCUCUGCCCUCCGCAUGCCGGUUCUUUCAUAGUUCUCAUGAUCUGACUACUUCUGAGAUCCUGGUGUCUGCUCUACCACCGUCUUUAACAUGGUGCACACUUCUUGCCUCAGCCGCACCUUAUUGGUAUGUUGGUGGGGUCAGGCCUCUUUCCUGGUCAUCCCACAGGGGCUCUCAAAAGAAUCAUGCCCUAGGAACUUGCCUGAACCUCUGGCAAGGUGUAGAAAACAAAGAUUUUGUAAUUUAUCAAGAUGAUCUCUGAUAUGUUGUUAUGUACAUACAUGACAUAUGUAUCUAUGGCAAACACACAGACUCACACAGGAACACAUGCAGACACACAUGCAAAUACAUACUUACAGAUGCAUACAGACUCAUACACAGAAAAAUAUAGACAUAGAGACACAUACACAAACCUACAAAAGGCACAUAUUCAAACAUACAAACUCACACACAGACACAUAAAACACACAGUGACACAGAAACAUAGACACACAUUCAGAGAUGCACACACACACACACACACACACACACACUUAUGUGUUUGCUCGCUUGGAAAAAUUUAAUCUUGAAGAGCUAGGGAGUUUUUGCCUUUAUCUGUCUUUUGCUUUGAAUUUUUUAGUUAUCAUUGGUUAAAUAAACAACUCUUAUUUCCCAAUAAUCUGUAUGCCUUUUUAGACCAAGUGCUUUAGACCUUUGGCGGUUUUCCCAGCCUUUCUUGGUAUGAAUACUCUAAUGAAGGCUUCCUGACGUCGUAUUUCCCAGCUGGGUCUCUGCAAGCCCCCAGGGAAGCAGGUCUACCUCAUGAGAUAUUCUGAAUGCUGACGAGGAAGCUGGCGCAUGGCUAACCAUGCUAAUAAGGGCCAAGCAAGAAUUCAUUAUAUGAAUGGCAACCAAAUUGAGCUCAUAAAAUAUAUGCCUUCUUAUGACUUUCAUUUAAAAUACUGCUAUUUUUUGUUUAAAUAUUUUCUAUGCUAGAUUUAAUAAAUGUCUUCUUUCUUAA